rnacentral:rRNA from 1 species
UACAGAGGGGGCGAGCGUUGUUCGGAAUUACUGGGCGUAAAGGGCGCGUAGGCGGCCUUCUAAGUCGAACGUGAAAUCCCCGGGCUCAACCCGGGAACUGCGUCCGAUACUGGGAGGCUUGAAUCCGGGAGAGGGAUGCGGAAUUCCAGGUGUAGCGGUGAAAUGCGCAGAUAUCAGGAGGAACACCGGUGGCGAAGGCGGGGUCUCUGGGCCACUACUGACGCUGAGAAAGCGAAAAGCAUGGGGGAGCGAAACAGG